CUAAUGGAAUCCUUUUUCUAGAGUAUACAACUACAGUGCUUUUAGAUGGGGAUAGAUCUAGACCAUUAUUAUCUAGCCAUUUUUUAAGAAAUUGUAAUGCUGCAGAAAGGGAAUCGCUAAUCUCGUUAAUUAAUCGGCCGGCAACAUAGAAAAGCAAAUCGUCCGCAUAUUGCAGAACUUUUACACAUUUAUUUAUGGAUACUUCUAAAUCAAUAGUAUAAAUGUUGUAAAGAAUUGGACUCAUUACGGAACCCUGAGUAUCAGGAUAUUAACAUUAUCAUAAGCUGCGGUUAUAUCUAGAAAACCAGCUAUUACAGAGUCAUUUCUAGAAAACGCUAAUCUAAUAUCUGUGACAAAAAUCCCCAAACUGUCAAAAGUGCUCUUACCUUUCCUAAAUCCUAGCUGACUAUCUGAGAAUAAUCCAUUGUGUUCCAAAAACCAUUCGAGGCGAUUUUUUAUUAAAUGUUCCGAUAUUUUCGCCAAUACAGUAGAUAGAGCUAUGGGACGAUAUGAUGAAGGUUCGGAACUUGGUUUAUCUGGCUUUAGUAACAAGAUUAAAGUUUGUGUUCUCCAAGAACUGGGAAUAUUACCUGAUGUCAUAGCUGUGUUGAUUAAAGAGAGAUAAUAAUUAAGAGCAUCUUCGUCUAAAUGUACUAUAAAAGAGUAUGGAAUGCCGUCUUCACCAGGCGCCGAGUCUUUAAUAACAGAAAGUACACCUUUUAAUUCAUUGACAGUGAAGGAUGAAUUAAGAUCAAAUGUAGAAUCAUUAUUAUUAACUAUUUCUGUAUUAAUAGUUAAAGGAUUUACAUGGAGCUGUUCUGGAACGAAAGUUGUACCAGUUGGCAUUACUUAAUUUAUACCUCAUACGGGGCUGUUUCAUCUGCUGCAAGGGUUUUGAAAAAGGAAAAGUAAUUAAUAAUGGAUAAUGAUCACUAUUAUAACUAUAGUUAAGCGGACACCAAACAAGAGAUGAAGCAAGAUCUGGUGUACAUAUCGAUAAGUCUGGUGA